CUUUCUUUCUUACAUAGUCUCCUAGGUAUCUGAAUUUUUCUUUUCCUUCCCUUGUUAAGACCAAGUCCAGAUUAGGACAAAGGGUCUACUUUAGGACAAGGGCCUAGGAAGAGAAAAAGGAAAGGCAAAGAGAAUAGAAAGAGGGAAAAGAGAAGGCUAAGGAGAGAGAAAAAGGAAGGCCUGAAGUUGUGCUGCCCAG
rnacentral:lncRNA from 1 species